AAUUGGUCCAGGGGUUCAAAAGAUAGAUCGUAGUCUUUUGUGACCACAGGAAGCAUGGCUUUUCUGCCCAAAACCAGUUCCACAGAGUCUUCUAUCCUGGAGAUAAUUAGAAGUAAUCCAAUUAUCUCCAAAGACAGAGGCAAAACUCCAUUGAACACAUGGCAGCAAAAAGACAGUAAAAUACAAUAAAAUACACGAGGUUACAUUUAUGACAUAAAAAACAGACAUGCAACAUAUGCC
rnacentral:lncRNA from 1 species